CAGACAUAUACCGACGGACGCAGGAGCACGGACGAGAGACACAGAGAGAGAGAUAGAGAAGUGAGAAUGGCCUGGACAGUGAAACAGGUUUUUCAAGCCUCCUGACCAACUGCAGAUGAAGCAAGAUAAAUAAACAAGUUUUUGCUCCUUCCAUGAAGACACUGACGCCACCACUGAUAAAACAGUCUGAAGAAUUUGUGAGAAUAAAUGUCUAAUUAUUUGCUUUUGUGUCAUAUAUUCAUAAUAAUCCUGGCUGCAUAAUUCUGUGUACAUUAUGUGUAUAUAUUUGCUGAAUUGCUGCAAUGUAUGCAUUAAAUUAUAUAACUAUAAGUGAUUAUUCCCUGAGGAAUUACGCAACAGUUAAGUAAUCUAUGGUAAAGCAUUCAGGAAUACUGUAUACAAAGGCAGCAUUUGUCUUUUAGCAUACCUGUUCGCUUUAUCUAAACGCUGCAGCAUUUCGGACAUGAUCCUCAGCGGCUGGGUAGGUAACGGAACCCAUAAUGCAGCUGAUGUGCUGAUUGACAGCUGGAUAUGGAUUCCGUUUCCCUCCUCUCUCGCAAUAUGGAGUGAUCCCCUGCAGAUGAUCAUCACUGGUGUGCACCUGGAAUCAAGCGUAUGAGUGUAGAUGAGGUUAGAAACAAAUAACCAAUAAGUUUCAGUGCCUUUAAAAGUACAAUAAAUUCAUUUAUUUCAAUUUAUUUUCACUGCAUAUCAAAAAGUAAUGAGUACAUAUUGUGUUGUAAGAAAAUGUACAUAUUACAUGUUAAGUGUGAGACAAAGAAUAGGCCUAACUGUGAAAUGGAUGUGCUAAUCGUAAUACCUUUUAGCUCAUGCAAUGGAAGGUCAGAACUGAAGCUCCCUUACUAAGCCUGUUUAAAUAGCCAUAAUAUGUAUCAUGGCCAUCUUUUUUGUUGGCACAUAUUUGCCUAGGAGAAAGUGAAAAUUUCAUUCAUUUUACCUUUAAAUAUAUAAAAAAUGUAUGUUUGUUACUUCAUGUUAAUUUUAAACUUCCUUAAAAAGAAAUGGUCUUGAUAUUACCUUAGAGUCACACACUUUCUCCUGCACUGCAAGAAUAUGUGCCUGGGAAAAGGUGAAAAUGUCACUAAUUGUACCUUUAAAUAAAGUACAUGUUUACCAAUGCCUGUUAUGUGUCUUGAUGUUGCUGUAGAAUGACACGUUUUCUCCCGGAUUGCCAGAAUUACUGUUCGCCACCGGGAACUUCGUGUCAGACAAAAGUGACAUCAAAAUCUACCGGGUGUCCACCGUCCUGAUUGUAACAAUAACAAGUCUAGAAAUAAAAGACAAAUCUAGUAAGAAAAUAAUGACUGGGCUGUUCUAUCUGAAUGUUUUUUAAUACCUUUGUUGCUCAAUAAAUAAUGCAGAACCAACUA